CUCCGUGGUCGAAGAGGCGUGUAUACAAAAAAAAAACGGAAAAAAACACUCACCGGGUAUCGAAUUACGUUUUUAUUUUGAGCCUCCAAAAAUAAGAAGUUUAGAUUUGAAGUUCAGAAGAUUAAAAAAAUUCAAACAGAGUGACUCAUCGGCCAUAUUGAUUUUUUAGAGUUUUAUCAAAUGUCCUUUUGACCUUGGUGCUUCGAAAGUGUUGCAAAGUGACGGGAAGGCCGAAGAAAGAAAAUGUACGAGAAUUUGUUCAAGAACCCGUUGCACCGGGUUUUCGUUUACGGGACAUUAAAAAGGGGCGAGCCGAAUCAUCGGAUUCUUCAAAACACAAAAGACGGGGGCUACGCGAAAUUUCUCGGUUGCGGAAAAACGGUCAACAAGUAUCCUCUCGUUAUCGCAACCAAAUACAACAUUCCAUUUCUGCUGAAAAAACCUGACACCGGGAACCAAAUUCUCGGUGAAGUUUACGACGUCGAUACGAAGAUGCUCGAGAAACUGGACGAAUUAGAAGAGCAUCCGUCAUUUUAUGUUCGUACAGAGGAAGAAGUGCUGAUGGCGCCAGCGGCAAAUUUGAAACCGAAUAUUAAUUUCGAAGAGAUGGGCAUAUUGUGCAAAGCUUGGACUUACUUUUUGCCGAACUUCAGACCGGAGCUCCUCGAUAAAGAAAUGUUUAAGAGUUACACGAACGAGGGAAGCCAUGGGCUGAGAUACGGCGAGAGGUAUCUUCGCGACACUGAUUUCAAUCAUCGUCGUGAAGUGCAAUGAAUCCUAUUUUAUAAAAAAAAUCAUGAAAAAUGGCGACUUCGCGAAGCCGGAAGACGUCUUGUGAGGGUAACUGGCAACCGCAUCACCAAAGUUCUUCCGAAAAAAUCAAAAAUAUCGUUGAACAAUAGACGACCAAGCUGAUAAUAAAGAGGAGGAAAGAAAAGAGUAUCGAGGAGCCUAAAAACUGCUUCUCUUCAAUGUGUCUUUGUUUUAUUUAAAAAAAGCCUUAUCUAACAGAAAUAAUUAAACAAUCGUCAACAAAAGUGUAAA
rnacentral:misc_RNA from 1 species